rnacentral:rRNA from 1 species
GUGGGGAAUAUUGCACAAUGGGCGCAAGCCUGAUGCAGCAACGCCGCGUGAGGGACGACGGCCUUCGGGUUGUAAACCUCUUUUAGCAGGGAAGAAGCGAAAGUGACGGUACCUGCAGAAAAAGCACCGGCUAACUACGUGCCAGCAGCCGCGGUAAUACGUAGGGUGCAAGCGUUGUCCGGAAUUAUUGGGCGUAAAGAGCUCGUAGGCGGUUUGUCGCGUUUGCUGUGAAAACCCGAGGCUCAACCUCGGGCCUGCAGUGGGUACGGGCAGACUAGAGUGCGGUAGGGGAGAUUGGAAUUCCGGGUGUAGCGGUGGAAUGCGCAGAUAUCAGGAGGAACACCGAUGGCGAAGGCAGAUCUCUGGGCCGUAACUGACGCUGAGGAGCGAAAGCGUGGGGAGCGAACAGGAUUAGAAACCCGUGUAGUCC